rnacentral:rRNA from 1 species
UACGAAGGGAGCUAGCGUUGUUCGGAAUCACUGGGCGUAAAGCGCACGUAGGCGGGUUUGUCAGUCAGGGGUGAAAUCCCGGAGCUCAACUCCGGAACUGCCCUUGAUACAGCAAGCCUUGAGUCCGGAAGAGGUAGGUGGAAUUCCUAGUGUAGAGGUGAAAUGCGCAGAUAUCGGGAGGAACACCUAUGGCGAAGGCAGCUCGCUGGGACGUUACUGACGCUGAGACGCGAAAGCGUGGGGAGCAAACAGG